GCUAACGGCUGAACUGGCAACUUGGAGAAGUGGCAAGUCUUCCAGUAUGGGGAGCAAACAGCUAUGGGUCAAGCCCGAUACCUUUAAGAGAAGUCUUAUUGUGAGGGCGAGUUGUAUAACACCAUAGGGCUGGCCGUCCCAUAUGAAAAGAUUUUAUUAGAAUUGAAUGAAACUUUGUUUAUAUAUUGAUAAUGACAGUAUAUAUAUCGUGUCUUGACUAAUUGCGUGCCAGCAGUCGCGGUAAUACGUAAGAGACUAGUGUUAUUCAUCUUAAUUAGGUUUAAAGGGUACCCAGACGGUCUAUAUAGCUUAUAAAAUGUUAGUAUAAGACUAGAGUUUUAUGUAAGAGGGCAGUACUUGAGGAGGAGAGAUGAAAUUUCGUGAUACCAAAGGGACUCUGUAAAGGCGAAGGCAGCCCUCUAUGUAAAAACUGACGUUGAAGGACGAAGGCACAGAGAACAAACAGGAUUAGAUACCCAAGUAGUCUUUGCAGUAAAUGAUGAAUGCCAUAGGUUAGAUAUACAUAAUCCCUAUAUAAUAAAAAGUAUUGAAUAUAUCUGGUCUAUAAAUGAAAGUGUAAGCAUUUCACCUCAAGAGUAAUGUGGCAACGCAGGAACUGAAAUCACUAGACCGUUUCUGACACCAGUAGUGAAG
rnacentral:rRNA from 1 species